AGCUCCGAAGUAGUAAUUAUACUGGAUUGCAAAUCCAGAGACGGAGGCUGAUUCCUCCCGGGGCUU
rnacentral:tRNA from 1 species